AAGAAUUGAAAGGGUUUUUGACCCAAUCUAUCUGAACUUGUGGUAAUAUUGAUAAAACAUUUGGGCUUAAAAAUGAUGUUCUUUAUUGGAAUAUCGGCUCAAACAACUUUAUAAACUCUUUUAUUAUUGACUGAAAUAUCAAGUAAAUUAAUCCAAUCUUUUGGGUUAAAAAAAAAGUUUUAAA
rnacentral:misc_RNA from 1 species